GCCCGCCUAGCUCAAUCGGAUAGAGCGUCAGACUCUUAAGGCGGGCCCCCGGAAUUAUCUUGGGGUCAGAACAUACUCAUGUGAUCUGAAGGCUGCGAGUUCGACCCUCGCGGUGGGCU
rnacentral:tRNA from 1 species